AUGGGAGAUGAGGAAGCCAUCGGGGCUCGGAGGGGGCCUCGCUGGGUCCGGAGGGUCCCCGCCAGCGUCAGCCCUUCUGUGCGGCCAGAGCGUCUGUCCUGGUUUAUUGAAAGCCAGAGGAAUACUCCAUUUCACCCGCUUCAGUGGGAAACGUUUCGCAGAAAAACACAAGAAGGUCUGGGGCUCAGAUCCUAUGGGCGUGGGCGGCAGCGGGGAGCCCUGGACCCUGGACCCCGCGGGCGGCGGGAGCAGGAUUCCCCGUGUCCCGGCGACUCCCUCUCCUUGCUCCAAACUCCACGCAGGGGUCUUCAUUCCUGGACGCCCCAUGAUGUGUCCCCUCCGGCUCUCCGGAAGCUUCUACAGCCGGGGCUUUGGCGACCUGCCCACGGAGCCCCAGGACCCGAGCCCCAUGGCAUUCUCGGGGGUCCGCGCGGCUGCCGGCGGUCAGCGGCUUUCAACGCUGGGCUCGGGCUCAGGCCUCUCCUUUUCCACGGGGGUUCACCGCAUCGUCUGCCCCGAGUCCGGCUUCCCCGCUGGCCCCGCCUGAGGACGGUCGCCGUGACGCGCUGUCUUCACCUGCUGAUUCGUCCCUUCUGGAGGCUCGUGGCCUCCCCCGGCCUGAGGCUCACGUCUGGGCUCAGGACGGUGUCCCACGGCUCCAGAGGGGAUUCCGCGCGUUGACCAACAGUCUGGACAUUCAUACUCACCUGCCCGAGUUUCUGGUGCGUCUGCAGGAAACGAGAGACUCUGUGUCUUUGCCUCGUGAGCUCCGUCUGCAGCCCUGGGGCUCUGAGAACAUGACAGGCGCCCCCGUGAGUCGCCGGCACCCGUGGUCGCUGGGGCCCUGGCCGCUGAGCCGUGGGGAUGCGCAUCUCAUGGACAGGGAGGGAGGCCCGGGCAGCAGGGAGCGGGCAGGGGGGCGGCGGGUGAGCGCCUGCGUCAGGCCGGUGCAGCCCGGGGAGCGCUGGCCACGGGGACUCAGACGCCCCUGGCGUGUGCUUCACGCAGGUUCUGGCUCCGUCUCGUCCCGACUGUGUGGCCCUGGGCAGGUCACUCGACCUGAGCUCUGGGGCACUGCACACGGUCAAGCGAGGCCCCGGGCCCAGGGACGGGAUGGGACGGGGGUGACGGGGACAUCUGCAGGCCCCUCCUCUGGGCAGAAGCUUUUCUGUUUUCCAGUUUCCAACCCAGGGCUGUGGAGCGUGUGCAGGUAAGAGGUGAGGCACCUGCUGCGCUUCACCCGCAGGUACCUGGUGAGGUCACUUCUCGCCGACCCUGUGUCCUGGACCCAGUGGGUCACCGGUGGGGGUGGGGGGCGCCGGCCCGGAGCCUGCGGUGGGGGAGAGCCGUCUUUCCCGAAGAUUCGGGUGCCAUUCGUAGGGGCUGUUUUACAUCAAUUUAGAUUUUUUAGCGCGGCGUCCCGGUCCGAUGACGGAACUUUUGGUGCCCUGCCAGGGUGUGCUGAGCGCGAUCCCCGGGCGCCCCCAGGCCUCCUGGGUCACGUGCCUUCCACCGAGCUCGGGCUGGGCCGCGGCUGCAGGGGCGCCCUCUGCUCCCCAGGGGUGGGGUCUCCGAGCUGGGCCGCCUGUGAGGUCAUCGUGGGGCGCGGGGGGCCCUUUCUUGCACCUUCUCGCUCGGACUUCUGGGUAAGUUCUGGGGAAGGAGCAGGUUUUCCGGGUGG
rnacentral:lncRNA from 12 species